UAGAACGCUGGCGGCAGGCCUAGCACAUGCAAGUCGAACGGUGGCACCCAUAGCUUGCUCUCGGGUGACGAGUGGCGGACGGGUGAGUAAUGUCUGGGAAACUGCCUGAUGGAGGGGGAUAACUACUGGAAACGGUAGCUAAUACCGCAUAAUGUCGCAAGACCAAAGAGGGGGACCUUCGGGCCUCUUGCCAUCAGAUGUGCCCAGAUGGGAUUAGCUAGUAGGUGGGGUAACGGCUCACCUAGGCGACGAUCCCUAGCUGGUCUGAGAGGAUGACCAGCCACACUGGAACUGAGACACGGUCCAGACUCCUACGGGAGGCAGCAGUGGGGAAUAUUGCACAAUGGGCGCAAGCCUGAUGCAGGCAUGCCGCGUGUAUGAAGAAGGCCUUCGGGUUGUAAAGUACUUUCAGCGGGGAGGAAGGUGUUGUGGUUAAUAACCACAGCAAUUGACGUUACCCGCAGAAGAAGCACCGGCUAACUCCGUGCCAGCAGCCGCGGUAAUACGGAGGGUGCAAGCGUUAAUCGGAAUUACUGGGCGUAAAGCGCACGCAGGCGGUCUGUCAAGUCGGAUGUGAAAUCCCCGGGCUCAACCUGGGGAACUGCAUUCGAAACUGGCAGGCUGGAGUCUUGUAGAGGGGGUAGAAUUCCA
rnacentral:rRNA from 1 species